rnacentral:rRNA from 1 species
UGCCAGCAGCCGCGGUAAUACGGAGGGGGCAAGCGUUGUUCGGAAUUACUGGGCGUAAAGCGCGUGUAGGCGGUUCGUUAAGUCUGAUGUGAAAGCCCGGGGCUCAACCCCGGAAGUGCAUUGGAAACUGGCGAACUUGAGUACGGGAGAGGAAAGUGGAAUUCCGAGUGUAGGGGUGAAAUCCGUAGAUAUUCGGAGGAACACCAGUGGCGAAGGCGACUCUCUAUCUCGAUUCUGACGCUGAGGCGCGAAAGCUAGGGGAGCAAACGGGAUUAGAUA